ACUCCUACGGGAGGCAGCAGUAGGGAAUUUUGCGCAAUGGGGGAAACCCUGACGCAGCAACGCCGCGUGGAGGAUGAAGUCCUUCGGGACGUAAACUCCUUUCGAUCGGGACGAUUAUGACGGUACCGGAAGAAGAAGCCCCGGCUAACUUCGUGCCAGCAGCCGCGGUAAU
rnacentral:rRNA from 1 species